rnacentral:misc_RNA from 1 species
GAUGAAGAACGUAGCGAAAUGCGAUAAGUAGUGUGAAUUGCAGAAUUCAGUGAAUCAUCGAAUCUUUGAACGCACAUUGCGCCCCUUGGUAUCCCGAGGGGCAUGCCUGUUCGAGCGUCAUUUCACCACUCAAGCCUGGCUUGGUGUUGGGCGACGUCCUCUUUGGGGACGCGCCUCGAAACGCUCGGCGGCGUGGCACCGGCUUUAAGCGUAGCAGAAUCUUUCGCUUUGGAAGUCGGGGCCCCGUCUGCCGGAAGACCUGCUCGCAAGGUUGACCUCGGAUCAGGCAGGGAUACCCGCUGAACUUAAGCAUAUCAAUAAGCGGAAGA